CUCUUUUCGGCUAGAAAACCUGUGCGGUCGGUCAAAUCUUCAAAGACCCAUAACUCCCGAACCCCUCAACCGAAUGGACUGAAAUUUGGAUAUAUUGUUCCCCUGAGUGAGAGCUAUUAAGCGGUGCUGGCGAUUGAACUAUGCGUAUGGGAUCUGAGCGCUAUUCGCCAAUAAUAUGCACUCAGAUCCAGGCUAUCUGGG